GCUGCAUCCAUCCAUAAAGCUAAAAAUGUUAUAUAGUAAUGAUAAUAGUGGUAAUAAACUCUGUAAAGAAGUGCAUUUCUUGAUUAUGAUCUAACAGCAGUGUAGUAGAUAACACUCUGAUUGGGUUUCCUUAUGUGUGAUUGCCAUAUAUGACGAUUAAGGGAACUCCCUACUACACAGCUGUAAGAUCAAAAUUAAGAAAACAAAUUUUCUUAUCCCACAGCACCCUUCCUUUUCUCAUUCCUGUGACCAUCUUGUCCCUUCC